UUUCCCCUACGGGGGGCAGCAGUAGGGAAUCUUCCACAAUGGGCGAAAGCCUGCUGGAGCAACGCCGCGUGGGUGAAGAAGGUCUUCGGAUCGUAAAACUCUGUCUUCAGGGACGAUAAUGACGGUACCUGAGGAGGAAGCCACGGCUAACUACGUGCCAGCAGCCGCGGUAACACGUAGGUGGCGAGCGUUGUCCGGAUUUACUGGGCGUAAAGGGAGCGUAGGCGGACUUUUAAGUGAGAUGUGAAAUACUCGGGCUCAACUUGAGUGCUGCAUUU
rnacentral:rRNA from 1 species